CCCAGCUAAUUUUUAUAUUUUUAGUAGAGACGGGGUUUUGCCAUGUUGGUCGGGCUAGCCUCUAACUCCUGACCUCAGGGGAUCUGCCUGCCUCGGCCUCCCAAAGUUCUGGGAUUACAGGCAUGAGCCACUGCGCCCAGCCCGGUCAGCAAUCUUCUUAAAGGUAGAAACCAUACUUUUCUUCUAUAAUACCAUUUUCAGGAGUGGCGCAAAAUAUGUUUUUAAGAAUUAUGCAAUUGAAUUGAAUUGAGCUACUUCCCGGAUUUAGAAUGACAAAUGCUUUCUCUCCAUCUGCUUAAGAAUGAACUGGCCUUCCCAUUUAGAGGCAAGCAUGCCCAACGCCCAAUGCUAGGCUUUCCCUGGAGAACACAGGACAGCUGAACGCUUGGGGAAGAAUUACUUCUGCUAUGGCACGGUUCUCUUGAGCAGAGAACUUUAAAGGGAUCAUUAUCUGCUUGUAAGGAAUGGAGGUCAGCAUGCCUGAAAACAGGAGUUGUGCAGAUAACCUUGCCAUAUUUAGAAUUCUAUGCCUGGAAACAGCAAUUAUUCCGGGUUGCACACUGCACCCAUGUGCUUACAGAGUCUACUCAACUCUUGGAUCUGGGCUCAGGCCUGACCAAUCAGAACAGUACAUUCCUGUGAUCUUAGUAAAGGUUGGAUAUCUAACCCAAUAAAAGCUUGCAAAAGGCGGAAAAACCUUUGCUGGAGCUGCUGGGAGAGAGGGAAAUGCUCUUUCUCGCUGGACUGGAAUUGGGGAUGAUGUGGAAGGAUGAAUGACUGCUAGAGCUGUUGCUGCCAUCUGCCUGCAUGGGAGAGCAUGUCUGACAACAAAACCAAUACCAAUACACAGGAAGUGAAGCCAAAGGCUGGAGAGAGACCAGCUCCAGGUGACAACAUUGGAGCCCCAGAAUCCGCCCAAAUCUUCUUUUAUUUAAGGAUUGGGUAUUCUUUCACUUGCAACUGAAAGAAGGGUAACCAAUAUCCACUGUCUGACAUAGCAGAAGAAACUGGCUCAGUAGGCAUCUCCUGCAGCCUCCAGCCCAGCUGUCUGGAUGUGAUGGUUUAGUAAAAGAACAGUAACUCCCUCAUAUUCCCCUCUCCCAUUUGAUCUGAUGGCCUGUGUCUACUAUACUUCACCAAAAGGAUAUGGUGCUGUGACAGAUGCAGAGGUAACUGAAACACAGCUCACAUUUUUCAUGGAGUUCUUGUAAGCAGGGGGGACACACCAUAGCCUAUUAUUUAAGGCAGAUUGAGAUGCAUGUCUUGGGAAAAGAACAAACAAGGUUUUUUUGAAGAUGCAAGGAAAGAAGAGCUCAUAUCUGAUUGGUGGGGACCAGUGGAUGCUUCAUGGAAAAGGGCUAUUUGGGAUGAGUCUUCAACGAUGAGAAUUUUAAUGGGCAGACAUGGGCAGGAGCCUUUGCAGGUAGAUGAAAUAGUGUGAUGAAGGUCAGGGAGGUGGGAAAGAUGAAGUGAACAUUGAAAAGUAGAGUUGGACUGGAAGACAGGGGACAUUUAGGGGAAUCACCAGCCUGCAAAGUAAGUUGGUGUCAUCUAGGAAGAUGCCUCUAAUGAGAAGCUUGUUCUUAGUCCAGUAGGUGAUGGGGAGUUAUUGAACAUUCUUGAGCAGGGAAGUGGCCUCAUUGGUGCUACUCUUGAGGGGCCUGAGAUGGAGGUGGGGAGAGAUCCAGUGUGGAAAAACCACUGAGGUGGGAUUGGGAGGUAACCUUGACUCAUCCACAGGAUGGGGAGAAAGCCAGGGAAGGAAAGGCAGGGAGUGAAAACAGGAAGUAGUUCUGGUUUCUCUUCAUUCAUACCUCAAGAAGUGAGGUUUCUAAAGCACAAAGUUCAAAAGUCACAAAAGGAAAGUUUGAUAUAUUUAAUUACAUAAGAAUUAAAAAUUUCUACAUGGCAAAGUGCUUUAAAUGAAGUGAAAAGACAAGGACAGAUUGGGGAAAACAUUUGCUACACAAAUGACAGAGGAUUAAUUUCCUAAAUACAUAAAGAGCUUUUAUACUGCAGAAAGAAAAAAUAACAGCUAAUGGAAAAAUGGUCAAAGGAUAUGAAUAGACAGUUCACAGGAAAAAAUGCAAAUGGUCAUUAAACAUAUGAAAAAAAUAAUAACUUAUAUAGAGCUUUAUGUUUGUUUAUACAUUUAAUUUUCACAAUAACUAUAUGAAAAAUGUUAUUCUUCUGAUAUCUUUUUACUGAUAAGGAACCAAAACCAUAGAGAAGUUAAGUGCAUUGCCCACAGUCACUCAACUAAUAAGCAGUUGGGUAGGGAUUUGAGCCCAGGGACCAGUUUGUUCUCUCAAGCACUUCCUGUUCACACUCAUCUAUUCUACAAGACAUCCAGGACAGGUGUGGUGACUCGUGCCUGUAAUCCCAGCACUUUGGGAGGCAAGGAUUGCUUGAGGCCAGUAGUUCAAGACUAGCUUGAGCAACAUAGGGAGAUCUUGUCUCUACAAAAAAUAAAAAAAAUUAGCUGGGUGUGGUGGUGCACGCCUGUAGUACCAGCUACUUAGGAAGCUGAAGCUGCAGUGAGCAGUGAUUGCGCUGCUGAACUCCAGCAUCAGUGACAAAAUGAAACUCUGACUCAAACAUAAAUCCAAAACAAAACAAAAAUCCCAAAGAAAGAAAGAAAAGGAUUAAAACUACACCAAAACACCAUUCUUUAUAAAAAUCACAUUGGCAAAAAGCAAAAUGUUUGGUGGAAGGUUGAUAAAACUGUUGAGGAAACCAAGACUCACAUAUUGUUGGUACAAGUGAACUGGAACACCAUUUUGUAGGGCAAUUUGGCAAUAUUUAUCAAGAUUUUAUUUUAUUUAUUCUAAGAGACGGG
rnacentral:lncRNA from 10 species